GUAAUAUUUACAGUUAGGGUCUUAUGUGUAUGGUCCAGCAGGUAAUAUUUACAGUUAGGGUCUUAUGUCUAUGGUCCAGCAGGUAAUAUUUACAGUUAGGGUCUUAUGUGUAUGGUCCAGCAGGUAAUAUUUACAGUUAGGGUCUUAUGUGUAUGGUCCAGCAGGUAAUAUUUACAGUUAGGGUCUUAUGUGUAUGGUCCAGCAGGUAAUAUUUACAGUUAGGGUCUUAUGUGUAUGGUCCAGCAGGUAUGAUACUUUAGCCUUCUGACAUCAAAUGUUAA